rnacentral:misc_RNA from 1 species
UGCCUUUGACAUCCUCGGAAUCCCGCAGAGAUGCGGGAGUGCCUUCGGGAACCGAGUGACAGGUGCUGCAUGGCUGUCGUCAGCUCGUGUCGUGAGAUGUUGGGUUAAGUCCCGUAACGAGCGCAACCCUUGUCCCUAGUUGCCAGCGGUUCGGCCGGGAACUCUAGGGAGACUGCCGGUGACAAACCGGAGGAAGGUGGGGAUGACGUCGGAGGAAUUCCA